rnacentral:rRNA from 1 species
UACGAAGGGGGCUAGCGUUGCUCGGAAUCACUGGGCGUAAAGGGUGCGUAGGCGGGUCUUUUAAGUCAGGGGUGAAAUCCUGGAGCUCAACUCCAGAACUGCCUUUGAUACUGAAGAUCUUUGAGUCCGGGAGAGGUGAGUGGAACUGCGAGUGUAGAGGUGAAAUUCGUAGAUAUUCGCAAGAACACCAGUGGCGAAGGCGGCUCACUGGCCCGGUACUGACGCUGAGGCACGAAAAGCUAGGGUAGCAAACGGGG